rnacentral:rRNA from 1 species
UACGAAGGGGGCUAGCGUUGCUCGGAAUCACUGGGCGUAAAGGGUGCGUAGGCGGGCAUUUAAGUCAGGGGUGAAAUCCUUGAGCUCAACUCCAGAACUGCCUUUGAUACUGAAGAUCUUGAGUUCGGGAGAGGUGAGUGGAACUGCGAGUGUAGAGGUGAAAUUCGUAGAUAUUAGGAAGAACACCAGUGGCGAAGGCGGCUCACUGGCCCGGUACUGACGCUCAUGUGCGAAAGCGUGGGGAGCAAACAGG